rnacentral:rRNA from 1 species
GACGAACGCUGGCGGCGUGCUUAACACAUGCAAGUCGAACGAAGUGGCGAACGGGUGAGUAACGCGUAAUCAACCUGCCCUUCAGAGGGGGACAACAGUUGGAAACGACUGCUAAUCCCGCAUACUGAAGGAGGGGAUUGCGUCUGAUUAGCUGGUUGGAGGGGUAACGGCCCACCAGGGCGAUGAUCAGUAGCCGGUGUGAGAGGAUGAACGGGCAAAAUGGGACUGAGAAACGGCCCAGAAUUCUACGGGAGGAAGCAGGGGGGAAUCUUCGGAAAUGGAGGAAAGUCUGACGGAGCAACGGCGGGGGAGUGAUGAAGGCCUUCGGGGUGUAAAGCUCUGUUAAUCGGGACGCGGUACCGGAAUAGAAAGCCACGGCUAACUACGUGCCAGCAGCCGCGGUAAUAC